ACCCCUUGGGUACAGAGGGCUGGGGCAAUUUGGCCUCAUUCUUGGGACCACCCAUUCUGCUGCGGUGGAGCGACUGGGUACAGGAUCCCGUAUUAGCAGGAGAUUUGGGAUUACCUGCCCUCCGCCCACCCCUUUCCAACGCUCCAUUCCAUCCUACCCUCGAAAACCAAACCAGCUGAACAUGAGGAGAUGCCGGAGCUGGGAGGGAGAGGGCACCUGCAGGCCCUGAGUGACCCAUUCCUCUGCCGGCCCUGUCCCCAGGUAGCUGCGCUCAGCUGGCUCCCCUUGAUGGCGGGGGCGGGGGAGGGGGGGAUCCUUAUCCAGCACCUACAGCCCUACCCACCAGCCUCCCAGCGUCUGUGGCCCAGUCAAAUCCCUCCUUCCCUUUCCUGUCAGAAUGAAGCCCGAGGGUGAGACUCAGGAAUACAGACAAACAUUCUCUUUAUUGAGCUACACAUGAAUUUUCCAUUAGUCAGAGAAGUAGACUGGCAGUGUGUAAGAUAUCACAGAAACCUCACCGAUUGGGAAUAGAAAGGCUUAGAAAGACCCGUGGGCUUUUUUUUUCCAAGUUUUUUUUUUUUUCUGCAUUUUAAAUUUUUUGUGUUUUGUCUUUUUGCCUCUUUAUCUGAAAUGGCUGUGACUGGUCUUCAGCAAAUAUUGUCUUAAAAGUGAAACCGUGAAGGAGUUUGGAUACUAGUCAAAGUAGAAAUGACAUUGGACUGAUCAUGAGAACUGUGGCUUUCUUGUAAACAUUGCAUUCCAUCUUUUUUUUUAAAUUUUUUUUGUUUUUUUUCCAUCUUGUGGUAUUUAAAAAUUUUUGUUUUUAUCUGCAGCACAAACAUCCCCACAUGAGAAAGAGUGAACACAGGUCACUGAAACAAAGGAAAAGGUGGAGGGGCGCGCACACACAAAGGGAGCAUCCAUCUGAGAGACGGAGAAGCAAAAUGUCAGCGGGAAAAACCACAACCCGGUUCCCAAAGACUAUGAAAGCUGAUCUGAUGUAAAGACUCAACUAAAACCGGAUUCUACAGCAUUCUACAGAAAUACACAGCCGUCAGUCACUCUGGGUUGUAGGUUAGACAGGGGCUUGAUACAGAAAGGCUGUGUGUCUUACAAAGGCCAAAAGGUCAUGCUACCAGGAGAUCAACGUCAACAGCAAAGAGUCCGUGAAGCAGUCUGUAGAGAGAGAGAUAAGGGGUCCAGUCUGACCAUUUUCCUUGAUUUAAAACACCAACCAACCAACCAACCAACCAACCCUCCAACAUGUUUAAUAAUGUUGAGGUGGGGCAAGAUGGGGCAGCAUCGCAGGGGGAUCAGGAAUCCAGGGGAAGCCUAGCCCAGGCCUCCUGGGAGGCCUCACCCCUUGGGACCCUGACCCAGCCAGGUCUGCAGAUAUGCCCUCCCCUCCGCCACUCCCGCCCCUUCUCCACAUCACUCCCCUUCUUUUCCCCCCCGCCCUCUUGGAGGGGGAGCCCUUCUGGAGGGGAGGAGCAGCUUCAGCUCUGCACUGUGACCUUGUGCUUUGCAUGGCCCCUCCCCUCAGCUGCUUGCAGAAAGCAGCUGGAGUCUCCCUUUUCUCUGACUCUUGCCUUGUUAACAUGAAUAAAGAAAACUCAGGAGACAGACA